rnacentral:rRNA from 1 species
UACAGAGGUCUCAAGCGUUGUUCGGAUUCAUUGGGCGUAAAGGGUGCGUAGGCGGCGCGGUAAGUCGGGUGUGAAAUCUCGGAGCUUAACUCCGAAAUUGCAUUCGAUACUGCCGUGCUCGAGGACUGGAGAGGAGACUGGAAUUCAUGGUGUAGCAGUGAAAUGCGUAGAGAUCGGGAGGAACACCCGUGGCGAAGGCGGCCAACUGGGCCGGACCUGACGCUGAGGCGCGAAGGCGUGGGGAGCGAACGGG